GAUGAACCCACGAUGAAGCUUUCAGAGCCGCCGUGACACAACGCGGGGAACACCUUGACAAAGCCAAGCGCGCUGCGAAGAAAUGCGUGCACUUUUAAGAACACACAUUUACUCCUUGUGGUGCAUUUGAGAAUUCCUCCUUUUUUUCCCCUCUGAUUAAUGGGGAAUAUGGGACCACGCGUGCUGCAACCCCCACCACCCCCACACUUCUCAAGACUGAGUCCUAUAAUUGGAGAGGAGCCAGUGACGCGCUGAAAAUAACCAGGUUACCACUUAUCCGCUUUGGGGAGGGCCCAGCAGCACCAUAUAUCAGCUCCUUCUUUUCCAGCUGUUUGGGAAUAUCGUCGCUGCAGUAUGCAGCACCACUACCACCUCUAGGCUUUCUCCGUCUCCCUCCUGCCGGGUUGGAUCAUGCUGACGGUGGCCUGGGUGAGGGUGUGCACCCGGGAUCUCUCAGUACGGGUGGGGGCUUUUUUUAAAGGGAGGAUGGAGGACACUGUUGCGUUUGGACAGUGGUGAGGAAAAGAUGCACAAAAAGCUUCGCCCACCCCAAAAAAAGGAUAACGUUUCUUAAUCCGGAAUGUGAUCAGAUGUGACUUUGGGGGCGGCGGCAGAGGAUGGACGGGGAAGUUUGAACUUGCAGAUGACAUCUUCUGCAGAGAGCCAGACAAGCAGACAAACACAGUAAGGCUACUGUGGAUGCUGCUGUUUUCCACCUGCAUGCAGGUAACACCAUUGAGGCUUAACGGGGUGAUCCAGCCAGUCUGCCAACUCCUCCGGAACUACACAUUCCAAAUACACAACUCUCAAGCCACCACCCGCAGCUCCGUUUUACACGGAUGACACUUGUACCGUACAACUCUUACUUGUCACAUACAUGGACCUGACUUUGGAGGUUUCAGUGCUGGACGAUAGCCACGGUGUGCCAGCUGAAAGGGAAGCCAUGUGCCUUCUUGGAAGCUCCUUCUCAUUCUUGCAGCAUAAGAACAACAACACGGACCACACUUGACUCCAGGAUCAACAUUCUUUAUUUAUAUAUAUCGGCUUGCCAAAUAUUCAAAUAUAAUUCCAUGCUAUUUAUUCAUGUUGACAGGGCUGCUGUGUUAUUUCAUGAUGUCAUACUUCAUGGUACUCAUCAUCAGCCUCUAAAGCCUCCUAAGGUCAUACACUUCAUACUUGCACUCAACAUUUUGGGAAAAAUAUCUUUAUUUGCAUAGAAUCUUUGAGAGUCUGAGACGCCAAGUUAGGGAGCAUCAAAAGAAUGAACUGGUUUUGCUUUUUCUUUGGCUUUUUUUGGUCUCCAAACACAGCCUCAACAAGGGGUGUUAGGAAACGCAUGGGGAGAGAAUUCCAACAUCAACAAGCGCUGUGUCGCAUUAAAUGUUUUACAAAUAACGGGUGGUUAACUUCUUUUUACACUUGUAGAACAGUCAUGAAUGUUCAAAAGUGGAAUGGUUGACGAGCAUUAAUGACAAGACCAAAAUCUGCAUUACUGUUUUAUGUUUUCUUUAAUCUUUCUUUACUCUUUUAUUGGUUUAAUGUCUUUCUAUACACAGCGUUUAACUUCUUACUACACUUGUGACGCAACUAAGAAUGAACGAGCUUUUGCAUUAAACCCUCGUCAUGACUGUUUUAUUGUUUUUAACGUUUACUGUUAACAGCGGUUAACUUCUUUUUACACUUGUGUGACAAUUAAGAAUGUUUUUAUGUUUUACUAUUGACAGUGUUUAACUUAUUUUUACACUUUUGUGACAAUUAAGAAUGUUUUUAUGUUUUACUAUUGACAGUGUUUAACUUAUUUUUACACUUGUGUGACAGUUACAUGGUACCUCCGUUUUCGUUAUUAAUUCAUUCCAAAAGGUUUGAUCAAAGCUGAAACAUACAAAAACCGUGGAAAUCUUUGCCCAUUGGGAAAUUAUGUAAAUCCAACUAAUCCAUUCCAUACACCCAAAAAUAUGAACCAAAAAAUACAUUUUAUCGAGAAUAAUUAUAGCUAUACAUGCAUAAAACUAUGUGAAAUAAUUCUAAAUGACAACUGGGCGGGACGUAAUGUUGAUACGGACUUCCCAUACAUCCUGGCGAGAUUGAAUUCAAUAGCGUUUCACAUCCCUGUUAUCAAAGUGCUGGCCCUUGCAACUUGUUUGGCCCCAUGGCAUGUUAUUUAGCAGCCGUGCUCAAUAAAAAAAUGCAAGGACAGUGAGUCAGCAACGGGUAAGGUGCUUGGUUUGGGCACUUGAUUUUGUGGAACGAAAAGCACAGGGCAAUCGGACUGGUUUGUUGUACGAAACAAGACGGUAUAUUCCAAAUUUUGGCAAAAAUUCUCAACAAAAUAAUGUCUGUGAUGCACUUGUUACGAUGAUCACAGGUUAACAUAUUUUUACACUUGCAUGACAGUUAAAAAUGUUUAAAUGUGACUUAAAACAUUUCCUGGGGGGGGGGAGCUUACAAAGCGCACUGUAGUUUGCUGGGGUUAAAAGUGUUUCAUUGUUGGCUUUUGGGACACAUUUUUUUGGUUCUCCUACAACACAGUGACUUGUGGGCCUAGGAAACGUUAAUACGGUUAUACAUAACUCAGCUGUACCGUAGUGAUGUCACAGUGUUGCUCAUGGCCAGCAAUCCUUCUGUGAGCUGAAUGGUCAAAGAGCCUGCUGGCUUUAUUUAUUUAAAAUGUAUGCAGAGCCUUGGCAAGGUGUGAGUGGAGUCACAAUUAUAAAACAAAGCUAGAUAAUGGGGAGAUGAGACUAGGAUGAUGGAGAAUAAACUUUACUGAUCAAACCACUGGCGCCUUCCUCCAAUAUCCAUCGCAUUUACCAUCUAAAAGUACAACAUUAUUCACAUUUUGCAAUGCUGUUUAAUUGGUCAUGGAUUACAACUGAAUGACAACUGAAUGACAAUACAGGAUUAACGCUCAACAAGCUUUUAAAUGAAAAUAUGUCAAGUCCCCUCCAUCUGGCUUUUCAAGCAGCCCUGACACCCUGCCUGCGUGUCAAUUACAUCCACCAUUUGCAACCUUACACCUAAACGCACUUACAAUGCGAAAAUAACCUCUUGAUUUAUGGAGCCGCUUGAGACUUGCACUCAGCAGUUGGAAGCUCUGAUUUAAUUUUGGUACUGAAUGAGACGCGGAGAAUAAAAAUGACAAAUGCGCUAAGGUACGAGAUGUUACCUUUUGGCUGCCUUUGAAAGAUUCAGUAUCCUGGCUUUUUGUUGCUUGUGAUGCACCAGCACUGAACUUGUGUUCCGUGAUCAUGUGAAUUGAAGCACCACCAGCUGCCCAAUUUCUAUUUGGAUAUAUAUUUAGAUAUAUUUGGGAGAUAAACCUCGAGAAAGACACGUGAUAUGUCACAGUUCAAAUCGCAAUAGAAUAUCUUGUCAUGUGUUGAUUGGCCAACACUUGUGACAUUGGAAUUCUCUAUUUUAGCACAAAAAUAAGCAUUUGCACUGAGAGUGGCAGCUUUAAAUUAAUGUAUUUUCUCAUAUAGUGUACACGGGUGUUUAUUUACUCAACUUCAGAGAGUGCUAGGUAUUUAUUUGGGGUAAAGUGUUUAAUAUGCAGGAUUUGUAUUAAAAAUCUUAAUAUUAUAGAUCUACUUUUUUAAAUACAGUCGUCCCUCGUUAACAGCGGUUAAUUGGUUCCAGACCAGACUGUGAUAAAUGAAUAUCCGCAAUAUAGGAUUCAAUGUUAAUAAAUGGAAUACUUUUGUAGUUGAAGAAUAGACUGUAGAAUAGACAGACACCGUGAUAUAGGAUUCAGUGUUAAUAAAUCAAAUAUUUUCGUAGUUAGAGCAUAGAAAACAUGUUUAGGACUUUCUAAAUAUGUUUUUUUAACAUUAUCGGAGCACCGUAGACAUGAAAUAACAUACCUAUAGUCACCUUUACACUCCUAUUAUUCAUUGUUUACAACACAUUGCGCAACUCUUAUGCUGCAGGGACUCGAGAUGGCCACUAGCGAGCAAGUCAACAAGCUAGCCUCAAAUUUAUUUCAUGUUAACUUAAAGGAAAACUGCACUUUUUGGGGAAUUUUGCCCAUCAUCCACAAUACUUAUGUGAAACAUGAACACAUAUUUCUUUCCCUUUUCUGUGCGUUCUAACGAGAGAAAACAUGUUAGUAUGAGCCAGCUAACAAUGCACAUCACGGGAGGAACCUAUUUCGUCUAUGGAACCCUCUAAAAAGAAAAAAAAAAAGUUGAACUGAAAAUUGUAAAACUUUUUCUAUGCACACAAAAGGCUGUGGUCAUGCAUUAACAUGUAAUACUUACAGUAUCUUGCCGUAUUUUGAUUAUUUAAAACAUGAGUCUUCAUAGCAACAUUGAGAGCCAGUAGUAUCCACUCUUCCUUCUGUCCGGUGGCAGUGGCUAGUGACGUUGUGAGUGACGCUAAGACGAGCGAGGCGUAGUGUUACUCCGCCAAAUAAAUAUAGGUUUUCGUGUCAGCUGCUACAAUGACAAAAUCACUGUAGCUUGGUUAAUAUAUUGGUCAGUUAUGUAAAUGGAACACCGUUGGCAUUUUAUUGUUUUUUUUUAGGGCUUUAGUGUCAAAAUAGGUACCUCCCAUGACGUUUAUUGUUAGCUGGCUGAUAUUAACUCGUUUUCUCUCCUUAGAACGCAUAAAAGAAGGAAAGAAAUAUGUGUUCAUGUUACACAUAAGGAUUGUGAAUGAUGGGCAAAAUUCCAAAAAAAAAGUGCAGAUGUCCUUUAAGAAGCCAAAAACUUCCCCACGGAAUGGGAGGAGAACUCUUUUACACUCUAUCAUGUUGGACAUGGCAUGGCUGACUUUAUGGAGUGUUAGGGUAAUGUAAUGUAAGGUCAUCUCAAGUCUUCAUGUUUUGUGUCAUUACUGCCGCCUAGUGAUCAGACUGCUACAUAUCACUUGUAUUUCAAUAUGUUUUGACUAAUAAUAGACCAUAGUCCAGGGGAGUACAAACUUUUUCCAGCGAGGACCACAUACUGAAAAAUGAAAGGAUGCAAGGGCCACUUUGAUAUUUUGUAAACCAACACAUAGAGAUAUGCUAAAAAGCUUUUUGUAGCUCAAGAAAAAAAUGCAUUUCACCUUUGUAGUAUAGGUGAAAUGCUACUAAAAAUGAAGUUUUUUCUAAAAUACUACGAGUUUAUUCUUUUAAAAAUGCAACUUUUGUUCUUCAUUCGACGAUGACAUUUUUUCUUAAUAUUUUUACAUUAUUCCCGUAAAAUUACAGCUGUUUUUCUGCUGGUUUAAUUUUUCAACAAUUUCAUUCCAGCUUUCCGCUUGUAAAUGUUCUCUUUAUAACUUUUAACAAGAAUGUAUUUUUUCUUUAUUUCAACAUUGUUACUAAAAUUAUAAUUUUCCUAAUUGUAGAAGUUUAUUCUCAUAAAAUUGAAACUUUUUUCUCAUUAGAAAAUUAUUUUUUUCGCUUAAUAUUUAGACUUUACUCAGGUCAAAUUUCUGGUCUUGAUUUUUUUGGGAUCAAAAUAUUUAAAUUUUCUUCUUGUAUGUUUUCUUCUCCUAAUAUUUUGACUUUAUUCCCAUGUUAUAAACACCCCCCCAACCUAAGUUUCCAAAAAUUACAACUUUAUUCAUUGUUUUUAACUUAAUAAAAAAAAAAUCUUUAAUAUUUCAACUUCAUGCUACAAAAAUGACAUUUUUCCUCAUACUAUUACUUUAUUCUUGUGAAAUUAUGGCUUUUUUUCCUUGCUAGAUUACAACUCUUUUCUAAAUAUUUUGACUUUUGAUUGAUUUUGUCAUUUUUUCUGCUCUUGUUUUUUUUCUUAAGUUUCCUUGUUAAAUUACAUUUUUAGACUGUGUUGCGGGCUGAUAAAAUCAUAGCCGCGGGCCGCGGACACCCCUGCCAUAGUCUAAACCAGGGGUCACCAACGUGGUGCCCGCGGGCACCAGGUAGCCCCCCACGACCACAUGAGGUGCCUGCAAGCCUGCUUUUCAUUCAGGUUUUGAGUUAAUAAUGAAAGAACAGUAGAAAGAAAUGCAUUCUGAAAUACAAAAUGUGAGUUGUGGACACCAGCAUUUUGUUCAUGUUCUGGUAAAACAAGCAUAUUCGCUUUGUUUGGGUUUAAAAUAAGCUCUGAAAAUAAAUGUUACAAAAAUGAGUAGCUCUUGGUCAUUUUCAUUUUGUAAAAGUAGCUCUCACAAGGAAAAACGUUGGUGACCCCUGGUCUAAACCAUGAAACAAUAAUAUAUUAAUUAAUUUCUGAAAAAACACAGUAUAACGAGAGAGCAAUAAUCAGACCUUGAUAUUGCGAGGGACGACUGUAUAUUUUUUUAUUUCAAUACGGUGGAACCUCAGUUUUCGUCAUUAAUUUGUUCCAAAAGCUCCAAUAAAAAAACGAAACAAUCCUAAAGGAAAUAAUGUAAAUCCAAUUAAAUCGUUCCAGGUACCCAAAAAAAAAGAACAAAAAAUAAAUUUGUAUCGAGUUUUAUAGUGUUUCUCACCUUCUUUAUCAAAUUGCUGACAUUCACAACUUUCUUUGGCCCCAUGGUAGGUUAUUUACUGCAGCAGUUGCAUUCAAUAAAAAAUGCACAGACAGGCAGCAACACGUAGUGUGCUUUGUUUGGCCACUUGACUUCAUGGAACCAUACAGUACAAAGCAAAAAGACUAGUUCAUUAAAAAACCAAGACAGUGUACAAAAACCGGAGCAAAAUUUUAGCCAAUAUUUUCGACAAAAACUGAAUUACACAAAAAAGCGGGGCCUAUACAAACCAGGGUUAGACUGUAUAUUUUUGUGAGACUACCUGUUAUUUUUUUCUGAGGUGUUUAUUUUUAUGCGUGGUGUUAUUUAAGUGGAGGUCUUAUUUUAAGUUUGAAUUACUACACAUUGUUACUUUAAUGUUGUCAGGACAAAAUACUGGUAAUGCCAUGCCAGGAUGUAAUGUAUUUAUGUUGUGUGAAUUUUUAAUCAUGCAUUGUUUUUUGUUGGUGAACGAAAUAAAUGUAUUGCAGCUUUAAUAAUCAAUGUCAAAUGUGAUUUUGUCAUGUCAAUGUUAUAUAGUUACAUAGUAUUGUAAUUCUCAUGACCAUGAAUUAAGGAAUGAUAUGAACUAC